AAACUGUGUUGUUUUCCAGCAGCUCUUCUUCUUCAUCAUCAUCACUUCCUCCCAGUCAGACCCAGUAGAACCAGUCUGAGCUGAUCCACAUCAAACCAGUUUGUUCCUGAGGAAACAGAGACGGAGACCCAGAGGUCAGAGGUUCCUCCAUCCUGAAGGUCAAAGGUCAGAAGCUGAUCUGAAGGAUCCAGGAGGAUCAGACUGUCUGGAGAACAACAGAGAGGUCACAGAGGGUCAUCACCAUGGCAACUCCAACAUCAGCUGUGCAUAAAGAUCAGUUAACUAUUGGCUUUUGGAACGUAAACAGUCUUAGCAACAACAUUGAGGAGGUUAGACAGUUAACUGAAAGAGAGAAGAUAGAUGUUAUGGCUCUAUGUGGGACUAGGCUGGACAGCCAAUCUAUGGAAAAUAUAAAUAUAGUUGGUUUUCAUCCACCGGAAAGGAAAGACAGAACAAAACCAAGAGCAGCAGUUAAACCUGGAAAGAAACCACACCCUGGUGGUGGUGUCGCUAUCUACGUUAAGGAAAACCUAACAUACACACCUUUCCGUGAGCGUAAGAACCCAAACAUUGAAAUAAUUUGGGUUGAGCUCAGUCUUCCACAAAAGAAACCCGUUUUAGUGGGCUGCUGCUUCAGAGUUCAAGACAGACCGUUGGAGUAUUUGGAAGAAAUCUGUAACAUAAUCGGAGAGCUGUCAACAGAAAGAGACAAAGACAUUUUCCUGGUGGGUACCUUCAACAUUAACUGGUUUAAAUCCUCUCGUGAUAGGAAAAGAUUAGAAAAUGCAGCCAGAUCGAGUGGUUUAAGGCAGAUUGUUAGUGAAACAGGCAUUGAGGGAAAUCCUGGAUCAUGUAUGGAUCACAUCUACACCAACGUUCCAGCUGACCGCCUGAAAAUCAGGUCCUCUGUUCGAGAGCAGAACGAACAUAAACGCUUUUAUGUCACAUUCACCUCUGCUGACGAGCCGAAUCUCCCUGAAGAAGAUGAAAUCUCAACUGCAGUAGCAAAUCUGAAUAUAAGAGAGAGUUGAUAAUGUGGUUAAGUUUCCUCUGAUGUCUGGUCAGUUUUUCUGCAGCAGUGAAUUUCUGCCACUGUCAUAAGAAACUAAUUGUGUUGAUUGUUUCUGAUGUUUCCAUGUGGACAAAUACCACAUUUACAGAAUUUUAACUUUUUGUUUUCUGAAAGAUGAAACUGUUGGGUUUUAUUUUGGGUUUUUGAAUUAAUGUUAUAAAGAAUCAGUUUCUGUAACCUCCUGUAAAUUUACUCACUCUGAACAUUUUAUAUCACAGAACUAAAGUUUUUCCUCAUCAUCGUUUAUUAAUGAGCUCCAUGUUUAUCCACUGCAGCCUGAACCACCAGCAGAUCUUCAUCAGGUCUUUACUGCCAUCAGACCUGCAGGCCUACAUUACCCACAAUCCCUCUGGUUCUGUAGUUUCUGUAAUUUGCUGAGUUUAAAGCAUAAAUAUGAUUUAGAUCAGGUAUUGGAGAUUGUUUAUGGGUUUAGGGAUGACUGUUAAAGUUUAUUUUAAUCUGAUGAUAUUAAUUUUUAUCAUAAUACAAAAUUGGGUCAAACAAAUAAAUAUUAAGGAUUCAUGAUAAGAAGGGAUAUUUUAAUUUCAGAAAUGUUAAUUUCAUUAAUCAUAUAUAAUAUGUGGAUUGUUUCAUUUAACUCCAAUGUGUAUUUUUAAUAUUUCCUAUAUUUCAGACUUAGAUAUUCUGUGUUGUUAGUUUUAAUCUCUAUAUGAUUAGUUGGGUGAUGAUGUAAUAUCUGUUACUGGUGUUUAUGAUCAUAAAUAAAGUUUAAAUCAAACAUCG